rnacentral:ncRNA from 22 species
CCACAUUGAAUAUUGGAACAUUUAAUUGCGCUAAAUCGUUUCAUUAAAAAAAUAACCUUUUCAAACUUAUUAAAUUAAGGCAAAUUUUAAAAAAUGGUAAUAUUUUUGACUGUACAAAUUGCUACCUCGAAAAUACAAUCAAUGUGUCUAAUGAAUAAUUUGUUUUAUAAACACUUUUUUGUUUACUUCUCAUUUU